CCUACGGGUGGCUGCAGUGAGGAAUAUUGGUCAAUGGCCGCAGGGCUGAACCAGCCAAGUCGCGUGAGGGAUGACGGUCCUAUGGAUUGUAAACCUCUUUUGUCAGGGAGCAAAGGGCGCCACGUGUGGCGUUUUGCGAGUACCUGAAGAAAAAGCAUCGGCUAACUCCGUGCCAGCAGCCGCGGUAAUACGGAGGAUGCGAGCGUUAUCCGGAUUUAUUGGGUUUAAGGGGUGCGCAGGCGGUCUGUUAAGUCAGCGGUCAAAGCCCGGGGCUCAACCCCGGCCCGCCGUUGAAACUGGCAGUCUCGAGUUGGAGAGAAGUAUGCGGAAUGCGCGGUGUAGCGGUGAAAUGCAUAGAUAUCAGGAGGAAUACCGUUAGCGAAGGCGGCAAUCUGGCUGGAAACUGACGCUGAGGUGCGAAAGCGUGGGUAGCAAACAGGAUUAGAUACCCUUGUAGUC
rnacentral:rRNA from 1 species